rnacentral:rRNA from 1 species
AGAAUCAACGCUGGCGGCGUGCCUAACACAUGCAAGUCGAACGAGAAAGUGGAGCAAUCCAUGAGUACAGUGGCGCACGGGUGAGUAACACGUGACUAACCUACCCUUGAGUUCGGAAUAACUUCGGGAAACCGAGGCUAAUACCGGAUAAUAUCUACGGAUCAAAGGAGCAAUUCGCUUAAGGAGGGGGUCGCGGCAGAUUAGUUAGUUGGCGGGGUAAUGGCCCACAAGACGAUGAUCUGUAUCCGGCCUGAGAGGGCGCACGGACACACUGGAACUGAAACACGGUCCAGACUCCUACGGGAGGCAGCAGUGGGGAAUUUGCGCAAUGGGGGAAACCCUGACGCAGCAACGCCGCGUGGAGGAUGAAAUCCCUUGGGAUGUAAACUCCUUUCGAUCGGGACGAUUAUGACGGUACCGGAAGAAGAAGCCCGGCUAACUUCGUGCCAGCAGCCGC